CAGCAAGGCUCAGGUUGGAUCAUCAUGCUUCUCUUGGGAGAGUUGCAACUGCCAAGCAUGUGCGCGUGUAAGAGCUGGAUGUGGACCCUCCUCUGGGUGUUGCAUGAAGAGAUCAAGCAGCUUUUAGUCCCCAGUUAUGUGGUCAUAGCUCCUACUGAGGCCAGUAUCUACUCUGCAAUGGUUUGGACUAAAAGGACAUAGGAACACUUGGACUAAAGCUCAAAGUAUGAAAUGUUGAUGCAAGAAGGAGCAGAAUGGUUUCCUGCCCCACAGCACAGCCCUUCCCUCACCAGGAGCUGAGCACACCAGCAUGGAGUGAUGCAAAACAAUUAGCAGCGGGCAAAAACAGCAACAGACUUCAAGUAACCCGCUCACCAGUAAGGCAAGAUCCACAAUCUGUUCCCAGCAACCCGUGGUUAUGGCACCCAGACGAGCAGAUGGUGGUAACAGCCAGGCCAUGGACAAGAAAAUAA
rnacentral:lncRNA from 1 species